AAAAUAUGUGACAUUAAUGAGGAUAAACAAAUUAUUAUGUAGAUUGUAAUUUAUUUAAUUGUGUAAUUGCAGUGUAUAACAUAUUAUGCAUAACAUUAUUUAAAAUUUUUGACUGUAGAAUUAAAUCAAAAAUAGAAUAGUCUAGUCUAUAUGAAAAUUAUUACGCUAAACAAAUAUCUGUUCAGGAAUAAAAUAAAAAUAAAUACAGCUCAUACACAGUAGUUCUAUGCUGUGUAAGUGCUAUAUUUUUUUAAAAUUUCACUCUUGGAUUAUAAGCAGUUUUAAUGAGAACAUUAAAUAUCUUUCCAUGCCUUUUUGCCUUUGUAAUAGAAAGGGAGGGGCCUAUGCAGCCCAAGCACUGCGACAAUAUCUUUCCAUUAUUCCAUUAAAAUAUUCUUACAGAGAAGUUAUAAUUUAUGAUACCAAUCAUAAAAUCAUAUCAGAACUGUAAUAACAUUAUACAAAUAAAAUUUAAAGUAAC
rnacentral:lncRNA from 1 species